GAAGUCAAUCUGAUGAUGACAUUGGUCUCCCCAUUGAUCCUGGGAUUUAUCAGGCAAUCUGGCUGGAUGGGCAAGUGUCCCUUUUCUCCCUC
ensembl:misc_RNA 7SK 7SK RNA